rnacentral:rRNA from 1 species
UACGGGGGGAGCAAGCGUUGUUCGGAUUUACUGGGCGUAAAGGGCGCGUAGGCGGUCAGCUAAGGUCGGUUGUGAAAUCUCCGAGCUUAACUCGGAAAGGUCAACUGAUACUGUGCGGCUAGAGUGCGGAAGGGGCAACUGGAAUUCUUGGUGUAGCGGUGAAAUGCGUAGAUAUCAAGAGGAACACCUGCGGCGAAGGCGGGUUGCUGGGCCGACACUGACGCUGAGGCGCGAAAGCCAGGGGAGCGAACAGG